rnacentral:lncRNA from 1 species
UGCUAGAUGGUCACUUCGAUUGGUAUAGGAAUUUGUUCCUAUGCUACCGACUUAGGUUCGGACCUAUGAGGUCACACACAUUAGAGUUCAUAAUCUGAUCAGAUGGUUGAUCAACGAUUAAGAAUCGUUCUAGGGUUAAAUGAUCAAUAUGAUUGACAUUUAACCCAGUGCAAGUGUUGCAGGAGGAACUAUUAGCAAUUCGAUUGCUGAUUGGCUUAAUUUGAUUAAGCUAAUAGGCUGAGAUUAAGUCUAAUUAAAUAUGAUUUAAUUAAAUUUAUUUUGGGCUUGAUUGGAUCAAGUCCAAUUGGUUUAUUGGAUAAGCCAAGUGCAAGGAAAAACUAGUCCUAGUUCAACUAGGACUUGGGUCAAUCUAAUUUUUAAUUUGAUUAGAAAAUUAAAUCAGAUUUAAAUCUAAUUUAAUCUGAUUAAAUUAAGCUCUUAAUUAGGUUAAGAUCUAUUUUAAUUGGGUUAAUCUAAUUUUGAUUUGAUUUGGUUUGGAAAACCAAAUUAAAACAAGUCAUAAGACAGAAUCCUAGUAAGACUAGGAUUCCACCUUGCGCCACAUAAGCCUUCUCCAUGCCCUCUCUCUUAUUCAACGCCAAUCUCCACUUAUUUUGUGCAACAAAAGCCCUCUC